GAUGAACGCUGGCGGCGUGCUUAACACAUGCAAGUCGAACGAAGCACUUUAUUUGAUUUCCUUCGGGACUGAUUAUUUUGUGACUGAGUGGCGGACGGGUGAGUAACGCGUGGGUAACCUGCCUUGUACAGGGGGAUAACAGUUGGAAACGGCUGCUAAUACCGCAUAAGCGCACAGCAUCGCAUGAUGCAGUGUGAAAAACUCCGGUGGUAUAAGAUGGACCCGCGUUGGAUUAGCUAGUUGGUGAGGUAGCGGCCCACCAAGGCGACGAUCCAUAGCCGACCUGAGAGGGUGACCGGCCACAUUGGGACUGAGACACGGCCCAAACUCCUACGGGAGGCAGCAGUGGGGAAUAUUGCACAAUGGGCGAAAGCCUGAUGCAGCGACGCCGCGUGAGCGAAGAAGUAUUUCGGUAUGUAAAGCUCUAUCAGCAGGGAAGAUAAUGACGGUACCUGACGAAGAAGCACCGGCUAAAUACGUG
rnacentral:rRNA from 1 species